rnacentral:pre_miRNA from 1 species
UCUGAGGGACGAGUGGAAGGAGCAGCUUCUUGAGAUGGAAACUGCUCUGGUAAAGAUGCUGUGAA